rnacentral:pre_miRNA from 1 species
AAAAAGACAAACUCUGGGUUUCCGUGUCCAACGUUUGACUGUCCGUCUUAUAUGAUUUUUUUAUAAUUAGUAUUUUUAUUAUUGUUAGAUGAUAAAACAUGAUUAAUACUUUAUGCGUGACUUGUCUUUUUAAUUUUUUUCAUAAUUUUUUCAAAUAAGACGGACGGUCAAACAUUAAACACGGAAACCCAGGGUUUGUCUUUUU